AGUGUGUGAGAGCAGCUGCUUACACAUGGAGACCUGAGCCGAACGUCACUACUCUGAAUGAUCACUUGGACUGUGCGCUUGGAUUUUUCUGGGGACAUUUGCCUGAAAUGUAACGAAAUAAGACAGAAAUGGAGAGGAAUGGAAACCAUACUAUGAGGAUGAAAAUAUGCCAGUGUUCAGCACAUGUGAAACAUUAAAAACUGAGUUUGAAUGAUGGCCGAGUGGCUUCUGUGGAAGAAUGGCCCCCUGUUGGAGUCGUUAUCUGUGGCAUUAUUCUGGCAGAGCGAUGGGCUGGACCCUGGAAGGGACAGCUGAGUCAUUUGGCAGAGACCGGCGAGCCAAUUGGUCAGGGAAGUUAUGAGGACAACACUAGAUUUGUGACCACCUUACAGCACUGCCCCCCCCCUGCAAGACAAAAAUCAUUACCAGCUAAUAGCCCCUACCUAAUGUAUAGCACUCUAUGUUGUUUUAUGGCUAAAAUAAAUCACAAUAAAACGACAUGGCAGUGCUAUCUUGUUGAUUUGUAACUAUUUGGAGCGAAAAC